rnacentral:snoRNA from 1 species
GUCUUGUCAAUUAUGUUUUCAAUACAAAUGUCUUUACACAUGAAUUUCAGUGAUUAUUUCAUGUUGGCUGAGACAUGAU